AUCUUAGCGUGACUGAUCAUCAUGUAGAAUUAUAAUCAAUGUGGAUCAGGCUAAGAAAUGGCAAAGAGCAGAAAGCAUUGGUAGGAGCUUAUUUUUAGAAAACAAAAUAGUGGUUGUGAUAUUGGCCAUGGUAUAAAUCAGAAAAUCAGAGGGACAUGUGAUAGAGGUAACACCGCGGUAACCAUGGGGGAUUUUACCUACACGUAAACUCCCUGAAUCAAAUUUGCUGUAAUAAUGUGGAAGGUGAAUUCAUGGAAUGUUUAUGGAAUGUCAAGGACGGUAGGAAGAAGCAGAGUGGCCAUUUUGGGAGCGGCCAUUGUUGGAGUGAACCAGUGUUAGAGUGGGGGCUGAGACUUUGGCUCAAGAGGCUUUGGCGAGAGGAGGUGGAGGCUAAAGUAAGUCUCUGCUCAAUGCAAGAAUAGGAUCUUAAAGAUAAACAAAGGGAACUACGAAUGCAUGAGAGGAGAGAUGUUGUAGCCGUUUGGGAGAAAGUAUUGAAAGAUGCUGCUCGACCCACUGAAUUCCUCUGGCAGAUUCUUUGUUGCAUUCCUAUAGCGCCUUGAGUUAAUCUGCAGUAGCCCAUUCACGUAGCAGCAAUCUCUGGAAUAUGGAGCAUCCGGAGGAAACGCACAUGGUCACAGAGAGAAUGUGCAAACUCCACGCAGAGAGCAUCCAAGAAUGGCCCUGGGUUGCUGGAGUUAUGAGACUAUACACUAACUGCUACACCACUAUGCCACCCUGAAAAGUUCAUGAAAAUGUAUGCUGACAUUUAAUGCCAGCACAGGGUUCAACUGAUGGAUAAAAUUGAUCUUUCCAAGCUG